GCUGAACGUCGUUAAUCGUUGCAGGAGAAACCUACCCGGACGGUCUCAAAGCGGCGGAGCGCAGAUUACAAAAUACACUUUUGAUAAUAUUUACCACUAACGCACGACAUAAAACUUGAUAUAUAUUUUUUUUGUAUCAAGACGCUUUUUGUAGCGGGGUUUAGCGUUUAUGAAGGUGUCUGGUAUUACGCUGGAGUUUGUUCCUACGCAGUCGGUCGACGCGGCCCGCACACUUUCUGAACACUUCAGCGGUUCCCGUGAAAUGUGUGUUGAGACCAUGGACUCCAACUCCACACACUGUUCGACCAAACACAAAUUCGUGUCGAAGAUGAAGUGGAAAAUGCUUCGAACGAGGACGACGGAGGACACUUUCAAGAUGUUACACAAGACCGUGAAGACCGGUCACAGAUGCGUCCAUAAGGGAAAGCCGUCGACGCCCAGACCCGGUAAGGGACUCCGGCCAGUGGGGGAGGAAGAAGGGGGACACAGGAGGGCCAUGGCGCCGGAGAACACCACCCAGUACCUCAUGGCCCGCGUCUACGCAGACAUGUCGUCGCCUCUCGGUGACUCAUUCUCACCGCGCUCUGUUUACGACACCGCCGUAGACGUUUACGGGGAGUCGUUGUCGCCGACGAGCGUUUCCACGGCGUUGGACUCCAUUUACGACGACUAUCUCGCUUUCCAACAGCGGGACUUUGAGGAAGUUUUCGGCCUGUGAGCCGUCAUGCUAAUCAGGAACCGGACUAGCCGACGUGGUCUAACCGACGAGGCCUCGCGAGACUUGGAUGUUGCCUGUGGGCUCACUGAUGACGUCUGUGGCAAAAGAGCUGAACCCGACACCGCCCGCAGUGUCGGGCGCACUCCCGAACAGCGCCAGCUGCCCACCGACGUCUGCCUCAAACCCGCCUCUCUCCUGGUCACCGCUUGCGUAAUGAAGGUAAACGCUACGGUAACGGAGAGCAGAUGGCAGGUACUACAAUGUCGAUACAUGUGUCCCAUUGCUAAGGUACCCAUUGUUGAGUAGACCGAUGGCAGUGUCCCAUCGCCUCGGUGGAGUGAGUGCACAUGAACAUGUAAACGUUGUCUGAGCCUUUUCCAGGUCACAGUGCCACGGACUCUGGGUUCGGCUGUGAACUGGAGCAGAAAGCGGAGAGUCUCCCUCAAAGAGAUGGACCAAGGUGACUCUUUGUAACGGGUUGUUAUGUUAUGAAGACUGGUUAACGUCCGUGUGUAAAUAAUGUACAGAAAGAUUUUUGCGUGUUGUGUUUUAGACAUUAAAAUAUUAUUUGGGAAAUAGUGUGAAUGUGUCAUGACUUUCUUAUGUCUCCAUUAAGUGACGAUACAAAGUGAUUUAUAAAAUAAAAUAUCGACUCUUGUUGUAAAAUAACGCUGUUCUUCAAAAAAAAAAACGACUUCCGGGAAGGACCCUGGCAAGAUGGCGUCCUCCACCCACUGUAACGGCCUCCUGUCGUCACCAGCUGCUGCCCCAUGAACCACGAAUAGGUAAACCAGGGUUUAGGUCGGGUUUAAAUGCCACGUCUGUUCAUGAACUGUGGAGAAUGUUGCGUAAGAAUAACAAAAUAAAUGCUAUUGCACAACA